GAUAGAGAGACGAGAGACUGGGGGUCUCGGAUUUAGCUCUGGAACAGCCCUCCGGGCGCUCCAGGACUCCACGUAACAGAGGAGGAAACUGAGGCCCGGCUCGUCAGUCAGUGGAUGCAGCCCCUUGCCGCCCCCGCCCCUGGCACCACGUGCUCCGUCAGUCCCAGCCGGGGCAGGGGAGCUAGGAGGCCUCGGGCGUCCCGGGCCAAGGCCCCCAGCGGGUGGGGCGGGGCGUGCGGGGAGGGGCAGAACGGCCUCAGAGCGCAGGCCUCGGCCUCAGGCCCCGCCCCCCCCCGCGCGCUCUCGGUCGCCCCGCCCCCGGCUCCGCCCCGCCGCCGCCGCGGGCGCGCGCGUGUCAGGCGCCUCGGCAGCCGCCAUUUUGGAGUGAGUCGGCCCGAACCCCGAGCCCGCGGCGGAGCCGGUGAGGCCUGCGGCGGCGGCGGCGGCGGCGGCGGCGGCGGCGGCGGCGGUGGCGGCGGUGACGGAGCCGCGGAGCCCGAGGAGUGCCCGGAGCCCGGCGCCGAGGCCGAGGCGCAGCAAUGUAAGAACCAGUGGAUUUGGCAGGGUGAUCCACAGAACCAGGGAAUGUGGUGCCUUAGAUUGGUUGGUUUAAGGUAAUGAAAAUUUAAAAUUUUGGGUUUUUUUCCCCUCCAAAGUACUUUUAUGAGAUUCUUAAUGUAGUAGAGAAUAGCUUAAUGUAGAGAAUAGCUUUUGCCUAAUCUUUCUAAUCUAUUACAGUAGUCACUGUUUCAUAUUCAUAGUGCCCUAGUGAUGUAGUUUAGUAGAGUAUUAUUAUAUCACAAAUGGAGAAACUGAGGCACAGAGUAGCUGUGUAAAUUGCCCAGAGUCACAUAGGCUAUUCAGAGUGGGACUACCAUUAAUGAUAGGACCAUCAAGCCAGGUCUUCUGGCUCCUCAGUUUUUUCUUCUGUAUUCAUUCUGCCUUUCAUGUGCAAGUGUGGUUUGUCAUCUUGAGAUUUAUUCCUAGAGAGAAAUGACCGAAAUUUCUGACCUGCCUGCCAGCAUAGUACAUUAUGAAGACUUACUGAAUUAAGAAAUGUUGAGGCAGAUGAGGGUGAAACCAUUUCCUUCCCUUUGUUUCUUGCCAUAGACUUAGACCUGGGGUAAAAGCCAAAAGUAUUAAUUCUGAAAAGUUCCCCCCCUCAAAAAAAGAAAGAAAGAAAGAAAGAAAGCAUCACUGCCACCAUCACCAUAUGCCUUUAAAAAUGAAUACUGAAGGUCUUGCUGGCUUGGUCUUCUUCGUUAUCUUCCUUUACGUUGUAACACUCCAGUGUCUGAAGAGGAAUACACAUGACUGGGAAAAGAACAGAGUAUCCAUUAGCUCUCAUUACAUUGGCCUGCUUUGGGUGAAUUUACAUUGAAGUGAAUGCUCUGAAGAUUGAGG
rnacentral:lncRNA from 1 species